rnacentral:rRNA from 1 species
AUUUUCCACAAAACCUUUCAAAACAACAACAAUAGAAAUGGACUUGAAAAUAAAUAUUUCAAUUAGAAUGGAUAAGUUAAAUCUCAAUAAGCCACCAACCUGUUGGGAUCGAUGAAUUUGAGGUUAGAUUGAUCUCAGACGAGA